AUUUAAACAAUUAUUUUAUUAUCAUAUAUUUACUUUUAAAUAAAUAUAUAUUUAUUUUAGUAUUAUUUUUAGAAAUAAAAAAAUUAUAAUUAUAUAUUGUACUGUAAAGGAUUUUAAUUUAAUAUAUAUAAGAAAUCUUUUUUUGAUGUACCUUUUGUAUCAGGGUUUUUCAAUUUGAAUUUAUUUAUAUUAAUUUUCUCGAAAUUUAAAGAUAUACAUUUAUAUGUUAUUAUAUAUGUUAAAUUAUUUAAUAAUAUAAAUGUAGUUGUUAUAUGCUUUUCAUUUUAAAUAUAUCUAGUUUCUUUUUAAUUAAAUUUAAUUUAUAACUUAUUUUGAUUGAUUAUAUUUUUAUUAGUUAAAUUAAAUAAGUUUAAUUUCUAAAAGGAUAAGCUUUUAGAAAUUAUUUAUAAUUUUAUUUUAUACUAUAGUUUAAUUAGGAUUAAAAUUUUCUAUUUUUAUAUUUUUAUAAAAAUAACUAUAUAUAUAUUGAUUUUUUUUAAUUUAAAAUUUUAGAAGGAAGUAUUAAAUAAUCUUUAUUUAAUAGUUAUAAUGAAAGAAUUAGUAAAAUUUAAAACUUUAUUUAAGAAUUCGGCAAAUUUAAUUUUCGACUGUUUAUUAAAAACAUUUCCUUUAGAAAAAAAUUUAAGGUAUAACCUGCUCAAUGAUUUUUAAAUAGCCGCGAUAUUUUAUCGUGCGAAGGUAGCAUAAUCAUUUGUCUUUUAAUUGAAGUCUAGUAUGAAAGGUUGAACGAGAAAUUAACUUUUUUAAUAAUAAAUAUUUUAAUUUUAUUUUUUAGUUAAAAAGCUAAAAUUAAUUUAUGGGACGAUAAGACCCUAUAGAAUUUGAUUUAUAAAAAUUUAUUAAUAAUUUUGUUAUUAAUUUAUUAAUAAAUUUUUAUAAAUUUGGUUGGGGCGACUUUUAUAAUUAAAUAACUAUAAAUUUAAUGUUUUUCAUUGAUGUAUGAAUAAAUGAUCCUAAAUUUUAGAUUAUAAGAAUAAAUUACCUUAGGGAUAACAGCGUAAUUUUUCUGGAAAGUUCUUAUUAAUAGAAAAGAUUGCGACCUCGAUGUUGGAUUAAAAUUAAUUUAUGGUGUAGUCGCUAUAUAAGUUUAAGUCUGUUCGACUUUUAAAAUUUUACAUGAUCUGAGUUAAGACCGGCGUGAGCCAGGUUGGUUUCUAUCUAUAAUAUAUAUUAUAAUAUUUUAGUACGAAAGGACCAAAUAUUACAAAUAUUUUGU
rnacentral:rRNA from 1 species